rnacentral:ribozyme from 1 species
AGAGGCUGCAGGUUUGAGGUCAUAGCAGAAAUGUGCAUGGCACAGCCCUGUCAGAUUCUAGUGAAUCUGCAAAUUCUACU